rnacentral:rRNA from 1 species
AUGUAAGUUUUUGCGUGAAUUUUUGUUUAUUUAAAUAAUGAAUGAUUUUUAAUAUAUUCUCAGUAGUUAAUAUUAUUAAUCAAGGAAACUUGGAAGUAGUAAUUUUUUUGAAGUAUUGGCUAAAUUUGUGCCAGCAGCCGCGGUUACACAAAUAAUGCAAAUAAAAUUGGUUCGGUAAAAGUUAAUUUUUGUAUAAAUUAAAAUAAAUGUAAAUUUAUUAGGUGAAAUUUUAAAUUUAUUGAAUUUUGUGUUGAUGUGAUUGAAGCUUGUAAAUUUUAUUAAUAAACUAGGAUUAGAUACCCUAUUAUUUAAAAUGUAGUAGUAAGUGCUGAGGUAGUAGUAGUUAUGUUCUUGAAACUUAAAAAAUUUGGCGGUAUCUUAGUCUAUUCAGAGGAACCUGUCCUGUAAUUGAUAAUCCACGAUGUACCUUACUUAAAUUUGUCUUUCAGUUUAUAUACCGUCGUUGUUGGAAUAUUUUAUAAGAACAAUAAUUUUCUAUAAUUUUUAUUAAAAUUUAUAUCAGAUCAAGGUGUAGCUUAUAUUUAAGUAGAGAUGGGUUACAAUAAAUAUAUUUAAAUGGAUUUAAGAUUGAAAAUUUUUUUAAUGAAAGUGGAUUUGAUAGUAAAAUUUUAAAGAUUAAAAGUUUGAUUUUAGCUCUAAAAUAUGCACUCAUCGCCCGUCGCUCUUAUUAUUAAGGUAAGAUAAGUCGUAACAUAGUAGAUGUA